rnacentral:lncRNA from 1 species
AUGUAUGUUUUGAAACGAACCCCUUCAGUUGCCCAAUCAUCUGCAUUCCACAAACUGGUAUAUAUUCUCAUUCAUUGCUUGUUAGGAAAAGCUAUUCCUUGAUUAUCAUAGUUGCCCAAAACUCUGAUUGGGGUGCAAUUUGGCUGGCUGCAUUUCAGGCCUUUUUUUUUUUUGUCAUGAACCUGAGUACUUGCUAUAAUCUUACUCUUCGUUUUAAUAAUAUGAGAGAAUUGUUGUAUGAUUAUUCAUAGUUUAUCUUUAUUUGCGAUGAUUGCCUAAUACAAACUCUUGAACUUUAAGGACUAGGAAUUGUCUUAGCUUUUUUGUUGUAAGGACUAGGAAUAAGGAUAUAUUUAUGAUAUUGGCUUUCCAUUUUUUACUCUUUGAUGAUUUGUCAUUAUUCAAUUUUAGUAGUUAUAUAUGCUAAAACAAAAGUGGUUUCUGUGUUUCCACCGCUUAAAUACCAACAAUAUACCUGCUAGGAUGCUACAAUUAUUUUCCAUCCUCUUACACUUUCUAGCAUGAUCAUUGCGACAGAUUGGGGUUUGUUAUUGAUACAACUUCCUUUUUCCUUUUAGUUUGGCUCGUUAUUCAUUGGAACUUCAUUUUGUGUAGAUAUUGUGUAAUUCAUUUGGUACAACUUUUGGGGAAAAAAUUUCUUCUAUAAUAUAACAAGCUAAAGACAAGAUCAACCUCCCAAGAUUCUAGUUAAAAGGUGAAUUUUAGAAAUCUCCAUGAUUGAAAAUCAUUGUUAUCUGAUCAAGAUGAUUUUAGAGUGCAAAAAUCCUAUUUGAAAACUAAUAUAGCAAGCUAAACUCUUGUUUCUUCACAAAGAACUCUUGUAUCAUUACUUUUUAGAAACUAAUAUAAUAAGAAACUAGGAGACCUUUAAUUUCUGUCAAGCCAUAAAUGAUACAAGUUGUUCUUGUUUCAUUUUCCUAGUACCUUAAUAUUUCUUGGCUUCAUUAAUUGAAGUAGAUUGCACAUGAAAACUGUCUUCUUUCUGAUAUUUGUAGAUUUGAAAGUGUUUGCCUCCUUAGGAAGGAAACUUUUCGAUUCUUGUUUGGAUAACGUUUCUUCCAACCUUAUUGACAGUGAACUACUAAUGUAUUCUUAAGUUUCAUUCAUCUCGAUUAUUACUUAUGAUUACUUAUUAAAUAAUUUCCUUGUAGAUUACUUAUUUAUAUCCAGCUAAAUUUUCUAAAGAGUAAUGAUACAAGAGUUGUAAUUUGUAAAAAGUUCCAAUAUUGUAGACCAAGUGGAUGUUUAGGUGAUGAUGUUAUUCUACAUUUGUGCUCUGCUAUGUAGUUGUUUCUCUUAUCGACGCAUGUAGUGAUAGGUAAUGCUCAAUGUUGAAAUUUUCUAUAAGAGUUGUACUCUCUUGUCCUAUGAUGGAUGCUUAUAUUCAUGUUGUCUUUGUAGGUUCAACUGGAGUCGACAACUUCAUGAGUUUACUUUCAAAGAACAUUUUCAGAGACGAACAUUCUCGGUUGGUCAUUUAUGCUUUAGCAGAAAAUCUUGUUAUAUGUAUUAUGAUGCUAUUUAAAAUAUUUUUUGAUUAAGGGCUGAGAUUUCGUACUUGUAAAUUGUUGGAACUUGAUUGGAAAUGAACAAAUAUUAUAAACUGUAUUAAAGCGUAUACAUAUUAAAGUGUCGGUUAUUUUUUUCUAUAUGAGUGUCAAUAUUAUAAAUUCAAAAUUGUCAUUGU